rnacentral:rRNA from 1 species
AUUGAACGCUGGCGGCAUGCCUUACACAUGCAAGUCGAACGGUAACGGGCCUUCGGGUGCCGACGAGUGGCGCACGGGUGAGUAAUACAUCGGAACGUGCCCGAUCGUGGGGGAUAACGAGGCGAAAGCUUUGCUAAUACCGCAUACGAUCUACGGAUGAAAGCAGGGGUCCGCAAGGCCUUGCGCGGACGGAGCGGCCGAUGGCAGAUUAGGUAGUUGGUGGGAUAAAAGCUUACCAAGCCGACGAUCUGUAGCUGGUCUGAGAGGAUGAUCAGCCACACUGGGACUGAGACACGGCCCAGACUCCUACGGGAGGCAGCAGUGGGGAAUUUUGGACAAUGGGCGCAAGCCUGAUCCAGCCAUGCCGCGUGCAGGAUGAAGGCCUUCGGGUUGUAAACUGCUUUUGUACGGAACGAAAAGCCUUCUUUUAAUACAGGAGGGUCAUGACGGUACCGUAAGAAUAAGCACCGGCUAACUACGUG